AUGGCAGCAGAGGGGCACUCUGACAGAAUGGUGUUUGACGUGUAUGGGAACUGUUGAAUCACGGCCUGAACCUCUGAUUGACCACCUGAGGCGAGUGCUGAGUCAUCUGCAGUGGCACAGGUGAAAGCAAUUUCACCUGAGUGACUGGAAGACUGGUCACUCUGAGGCUGACUCCCAAGGAGGAAGGAUCUCUCUCUGGCGAUCACUCCCCUUGGGACCCUUCUGCGAGCCCAGGACACAGCUUCAGACAUAAAGUACUAUAAGUGAAUGACCAUAUCAGCUAAUUAAUUGAGCCUUGAAAGACCAGGAUCUUCUGUUAAUCCAGUGGCGCAUCUGCAUCAGAUCCUCCUUUCUCCCUUCCAACGUGAGGAGUCUAUUUAUGGACUCAGAUUCAUAAUUAAAUGUUUCAUCCACAAAAAGAACGGUUCCCAGGAAAACGUCAGCUCUAUUUCUCUGCUCCUAUUAGGCUUUGUCAGACAUUACAUAAGAGAUUUGCUCAUGUUGGCC
ensembl:lncRNA